CAGAUUUGGGGAGGAAGAAGAACUCCCAAACCCUCAUCAAUCCUUGAUCUACCAUAACUUCCUCGUUUGAGCUCCGAUCGCCGCACCGUUCGCGGCCACGCGUUCAGCGCGUCGAACUCUACAUUUCUGUUGGAUCAAUUUAUCGGUUCGAUUUAGCUUCCGAAGCAUAUUGGACUUGGGUCACUAUGCGUGUGGGUACGGUGGGAAUUGAGUUCAUAUAUAUGCAUUGAGAUUGAAAAGUGAGCAUUUGGAGGCUUAUUGGUGAGUAAAGCUCGGUUUGUGGCUGGUUUCUUUGAGCUUGGAGGGCUGUGUUCUAACUUGUGAGGCUGCCUUGGGUUGAAUAAAGUGAUCAGUCAAGAUAUGGAUUAGAUUUCGCGCGUUUAACAUAUAAGGUUUUGUGAAAACUGAGGUUAGAGCAUUAUAGGAUAAGUUGAAAUGGUUGCAUGUUCUAAAUUACUGGGCUUAUGAUGUUAAUGGAUAGGUGGAUGUUGAAAUUAUGUUGAGAAAUAUGGUUAGUUGAUGGUGCUUCUUGAGAUUUGGUUGUUGAUUGAAUGUGUUUAUAUAUGUAUAUUAGUAUGACAAUGAUGGAUGAAGGAAUCAUGAUUAUGGCAAAGUAACAACAUGGUUGUGGUUGAAUGGAUGUGCUAUGGUUAAGGGCUAUUUAUAUUGAUGAUUGUGGUAUAUUAGGUUGGCUGGAAAUGAGUUUUGGGAGGGAUAUGUGGUUUUGGCAAAAAUAAGGUUUUGUGGUGUUUUUGGUAAAAAGUGAAUUUUAAUGAACUUUGGAAGUCCAUAACUUGCUCCUCAAAUUUUGAAUGCAAAUGAGAUUUAUUUUAAAUUAAAGGGUGUUUGAUAAGCUUGAAUCGAUAUAAAAUUUGCGAAAAAUCGAAUUUUGUAGAGGAAGUUAUGGAUGCCGAAAAUAUGGUGCGAAAAACUGAAAUUUUAAAUGUUGCAGCAGAAUUAAAUUUUCUGUUGUGUGCCCACGCACCCAACAAAGGCAAAAUUCAACUUGUGCGUAUGCACGCCUCUGUGCGCAUGCACACCUAGCAUUUUUCAUAAAGUGUGCGUACGCAUACUUCUAUGCGCACACACACGCUAGGAUGAGCCUUCUGUUGGUGGCGCUAGCACAACUAUAAGGCACAUGCACACUAAGGGAUGUGGGCGCACGCACGUAUUCGUGCGUACGCACACGUGCUGCUUUAUUGUUAAGCUGUGCGCACGCACAGGUGUGUGCCUACGCACACGCCCUAUUUUCCAGCACAUUUAUAUUUCUAUUUUAAACAUGAUUUUAAACCCUAAACUCCCUAUUUCUGCCCUGUUAAUCCUAGAUCCUACUAGUAAGUUUAGUAAAUAGCAGAAGUUAGGAGUUUGAGGUAACUUGGGAGUGAAGAAAAAAGAUAAAUAUGAAGAGAAGUGUGAAGGGAAAGAUGUUAAUGAAUGAAGUUAAUAUGCAAUGACUCUGAUGA